AGGAACCACCCCAGUGGUGCUCUGGAAACCUGGAUUCAGCCCCCGCAGUAACUAAGGAGCUCUCUGUCUGCAGGGCCUGGAGGCUCUAGGGUGCG
rnacentral:pre_miRNA from 1 species